rnacentral:rRNA from 1 species
UGGGGAAUUUUGGACAAUGGGCGAAAGCCUGAUCCAGCAAUGCCGCGUGUGUGAAGAAGGCCUUCGGGUUGUAAAGCACUUUUGUCCGGAAAGAAAUCCUUGGCUCUAAUACAGUCGGGGGAUGACGGUACCGGAAGAAUAAGCACCGGCUAACUACGUGCCAGCAGCCGCGGUAAUACGUAGGGUGCAAGCGUUAAUCGGAAUUACUGGGCGUAAAGCGUGCGCAGGCGGUUUGCUAAGACCGAUGUGAAAUCCCCGGGCUCAACCUGGGAACUGCAUUGGUGACUGGCAGGCUAGAGUAUGGCAGAGGGGGGUAGAAUUCCACGUGUAGCAGUGAAAUGCGUAGAGAUGUGGAGGAAUACCGAUGGCGAAGGCAGCCCCCUGGGCCAAUACUGACGCUCAUGCACGAAAGCGUGGGGAGCAAACAGGAUUAGAUACCCUGGUAGUCCACGCCCUAAACGAUGCCAACUAGUUGUUGGGGAUUCAUUUUCCUUAGUAACGUAGCUAACGCGUGAAGUUGACCGCCUGGGGAGUACGGUCGCAAGAUUAAAACUCAAAUGAAUUGACGGGGUCAUAGCUG